CUGAGCCACCCAGGCGCGCCCGAUCUCGUCUGAUCUCGGAAGCUAAGCAGGGUCGGGCCUGGUUAGUACUUGGAUGGGGGCUGCCUUCUUGAUGUGGCCUCCUCAGC
rnacentral:rRNA from 1 species